rnacentral:rRNA from 1 species
GACGAACGCUGGCGGCGUGCCUAAUACAUGCAAGUCGAACGCUGAAGGAGGAGCUUGCUUCUCUGGAUGAGUUGCGAACGGGUGAGUAACGCGUAGGUAACCUGCCUGGUAGCGGGGGAUAACUAUUGGAAACGAUAGCUAAUACCGCAUAAGAGUAGAUGUUGCAUGACAUUUGCUUAAAAGGUGCAAUUGCAUCACUACCAGAUGGACCUGCGUUGUAUUAGCUAGUUGGUGGGGUAACGGCUCACCAAGGCGACGAUACAUAGCCGACCUGAGAGGGGGGGUAGCCAGACUGAGAGGGAGACACGGCACAGAGGCAUUCAGGAGCCAGCAGGAGGGCUACGUGAGGAAUGGGCGGAAAUCUGACCGAGCAACGCCGAAUGAGGGAAGAAGGUUGUCGGGUCGUGGAGCACGGUUGUCAGGGAGGAACGAGUGUGAGAGUGGAAAGUUCACACUGUGACGGUAUCUUACAAGGAAGGAACGGCUAACUACGUG